rnacentral:ncRNA from 2 species
GGUCAUGAGUGCCAGCAGAUAGCCCCGGCUUGCUGGCCGGCAACCCUCCACCGCGGUGGGGUGCCCCGGGUGACGACCUGGCUGCGGUCCAACACCGGACCCGGCAAGCGCGGGCU